CAGGCCUAACACAUGCAAGUCGAGCGGGCUUAUCCUUCGGGAUAGGUUAGCGGCGGACGGGUGAGUAACACGUAGGCAACCUGCCUGUAAGAUCGGGAUAACUACCGGAAACGGUAGCUAAGACCGGAUAGCUGUUUCUCCGCAUGGGGGAAUCAUGAAACACGGGGCAACCUGUGGCUUACGGAUGGGCCUGCGGCGCAUUAGCUAGUUGGUGGGGUAAUGGCCCACCAAGGCGACGAUGCGUAGCCGACCUGAGAGGGUGAUCGGCCACACUGGGACUGAGACACGGCCCAGACUCCUACGGGAGGCAGCAGUAGGGAAUCUUCCGCAAUGGGCGCAAGCCUGACGGAGCAACGCCGCGUGAGUGAUGAAGGUUUUCGGAUCGUAAAGCUCUGUUGCCAAGGAAGAACGCCUCGGAGAGUAACUGCUCUGAGGGUGACGGUACUUGAGAAGAAAGCCCCGGCUAACUACGUGCCAGCAGCCGCGGUAAUACGUAGGGGGCAAGCGUUGUCCGGAAUUAUUGGGCGUAAAGCGCGCGCAGGCGGUCUUUUAAGUUUGGUGUUUAAGCCCGGGGCUCAACCCCGGUUCGCACUGAAAACUGGGAGACUUGAGUGCAGGAGAGGAAAGCGGAAUUCCACGUGUAGCGGUGAAAUGCGUAGAGAUGUGGAGGAACACCAGUGGCGAAGGCGGCUUUCUGGACUGUAACUGACGCUGAGGCGCGAAAGCGUGGGGAGCAAACAGGAUUAGAUA
rnacentral:rRNA from 1 species